rnacentral:tRNA from 1 species
GGGGGUGUAGCUCAGUGGUAGAGAGUGUUCUUAGCAUGCAAUUGGCUCUGGAUUCAAUCCCCAGUAUCCCCA